rnacentral:rRNA from 1 species
UACGAGGGGAGCAAGCGUUGUUCGGAUUUACUGGGCGUAAAGGGCGCGUAGGCGGUCGUGACAAGUCACUUGUGAAAUCUCCGGGCUUAACUCGGAACGGUCAAGUGAUACUGUCGGACUAGAGUGCAGAAGGGGCAACUGGAAUUCUCGGUGUAGCGGUGAAAUGCGUAGAUAUCGAGAGGAACACCUGCGGCGAAGGCGGGCUGCUGGGCUGACACUGACGCUGAGGCGCGAAAGCCAGGGGAGCGAACGGG